rnacentral:tRNA from 1 species
GGGUAAAAAGCGAAGUAUCGCACUCAGUUUCGACCUGAACUUUGGUAUUAAUUAUACCUUUAUCUA